UCUCCGUUGGUGAACCAGCGGAGGGAUCAUUACAGGACUCGCAAGACUCCUACAACCCUGUGAACUUAACUAUAAGCACGUUGCUUCGGCGGGUGUCUCGGGGGGGUUCUCCCUCCCCGAGACGCUAAACCCGCCGGCAGCCUACUAUACUCUGUCUCUUUGCGUUGGCAUCUCGAGUACAAUCAAACAAGUUAAAACUUUCAACAACGGAUCUCUUGGUUCUG
rnacentral:misc_RNA from 1 species